rnacentral:rRNA from 1 species
AUGAACGCUGGCGGCGUGCCUAAUACAUGCAAGUCGAGCGAACUGACGAGGAGCUUGCUCCUCUGACGUUAGCGGCGGACGGGUGAGUAACACGUGGAUAACCUACCUAUAAGACUGGGAUAACUUCGGGAAACCGGAGCUAAUACCGGAUAAUAUAUUGAACCGCAUGGUUCAAUAGUGAAAGACGGUUUUGCUGUCACUUAUAGAUGGAUCCGCGCCGCAUUAGCUAGUUGGUAAGGUAACGGCUUACCAAGGCAACGAUGCGUAGCCGACCUGAGAGGGUGAUCGGCCACACUGGAACUGAGACACGGUCCAGACUCCUACGGGAGGCAGCAGUAGGGAAUCUUCCGCAAUGGGCGAAAGCCUGACGGAGCAACGCCGCGUGAGUGAUGAAGGUCUUCGGAUCGUAAAACUCUGUUAUUAGGGAAGAACAAAUGUGUAAGUAACUAUGCACGUCUUGACGGUACCUAAUCAGAAAGCCACGGCUAACUACGUG